rnacentral:rRNA from 1 species
AACGAACGCUGGCGGCAUGCCUAACACAUGCAAGUCGAACGAGACCUUCGGGUCUAGUGGCGCACGGGUGCGUAACGCGUGGGAACCUGCCCGUAGGUUCGGAAUAACUCCCCGAAAGGGGUGCUAAUACCGGAUAAUGUCUUCGGACCAAAGAUUUAUCGCCUUUGGAUGGGCCCGCGUUGGAUUAGCUAGUUGGUAGGGUAAAAGCCUACCAAGGCGACGAUCCAUAGCUGGUCUGAGAGGAUGAUCAGCCACACUGGGACUGAGACACGGCCCAGACUCCUACGGGAGGCAGCAGUGGGUAAUAUUGGACAAUGGGCGAAAUCCUGAUCCAGCAAUGCCGCGUGAGUGAUGAAGGCCUUAGGGUUGUAAAGCUCUUUUACCCGGGAUGAUAAUGACAGUACCGGGAGAAUAAGCUCCGGCUAACUCCGUG